UACGUAGGGGGCGAGCGUUGUCCGGAUUUAUUGGGCGUAAAGAGCUCGUAGGUGGCUGUUCAAGUCGGGUGUGAAAUCCCAAGGCUCAACCUUGGGUCUGCAUUCGAUACUGGGUGGCUUGAGUCUGGUAGGGGGACCUGGAAUUCCUGGUGUAACGGUGGAAUGCGCAGAUAUCAGGAGGAACACCGGUGGCGAAGGCGGGGUCCUGGGCCUUGCCUGACGCUGAGGCGCGAAAGCUAGGGGAGCGAACAGG
rnacentral:rRNA from 1 species